rnacentral:rRNA from 1 species
UACGUAGGUGGCAAGCGUUGUCCGGAUUUAUUGGGUUUAAAGGGUGCGUAGGCGGUUUUUUAAGUCAGUGGUGAAAUACAGCCGCUCAACGGUUGAGGUGCCAUUGAUACUGGGAAACUUGAGUACAGACGAGGUAGGCGGAAUUGACGGUGUAGCGGUGAAAUGCAUAGAUAUCGUCAAGAACACCGAUAGCGAAGGCAGCUUACUAGACUGUAACUGACGCUGAUGCACGAAAGUGUGGGGAUCAAACAGG